rnacentral:rRNA from 1 species
GGGGAAUAUUGCACAAUGGAGGAAACUCUGAUGCAGCGACGCCGCGUGAGCGAUGAAGUAUUUCGGUAUGUAAAGCUCUAUCAGCAGGGAAGAUAAUGACGGUACCUGAGUAAGAAGCUCCGGCUAAAUACGUGCCAGCAGCCGCGGUAAUACGUAUGGAGCAAGCGUUAUCCGGAUUUACUGGGUGUAAAGGGAGUGUAGGCGGCUUUGCAAGUCAGAUGUGAAAGCCCGGGGCUCAACCCCGGGACUGCAUUUGAAACUGUGAAGCUGGAGUGUCGGAGAGGUAAGUGGAAUUCCUGGUGUAGUAGUGAAAUGCGUAGAUAUCAGGAAGAACACCGGAGGCG